UACGUAGGGUGCAAGCGUUGUCCGGAAUUAUUGGGCGUAAAGAGCUCGUAGGCGGUUUGUCGCGUCGAAUGUGAAAACCCGGGGCUCAACCCCGGGCCUGCAUUCGAUACGGGCAGACUAGAGUUCGGUAGGGGAGUCUGGAAUUCCUGGUGUAGCGGUGAAAUGCGCAGAUAUCAGGAGGAACACCGGUGGCGAAGGCGGCGAUCUGGGUCGAUACUGACGCUGAGGUGCGAAAGCGUGGGGAGCAAACAGG
rnacentral:rRNA from 1 species